AGCCUCUCAGUGUCGCACCUGGAGAGUUUCCAGUACUCUCCCAGUCUCGACUAUGGGAGGGAGAGUCAAGCAGAGGCCUACCCAUUCCAUUCCUAGCUUGGCCAGUAGAUAGAAAGUGGAAAGCAAUCUGCUACAAGU
rnacentral:snoRNA from 1 species